UAGGGAAUCUUCCGCAAUGGACGAAAGUCUGACGGAGCAACGCCGCGUGAGUGAAGAAGGAUUUCGGUUCGUAAAACUCUGUUGUUAGGGAAGAAAAAAUGUAUAGUAACUAUAUACAAAAGAGACGGUACCUAACCAGAAAGCCACGGCUAACUACGUGCCAGCAGCCGCGGUAAUACGUAGGUGGCAAGCGUUGUCCGGAAUUAUUGGGCGUAAAGCGCGCGCAGGUGGUUUAGAAAGUCUGAUGUGAAAGCCCACGGCUCAACCGUGGAGGGUCAUUGGAAACUAAUAAACUUGAGUGCAGGAGAGAAAAGUGGAAUUCCUAGUGUAGCGGUGAAAUGCGUAGAGAUUAGGAGGAACACCGGUGGCGAAAGCGGCUUUUUGGCCUGCAACUGACACUGAGGCGCAAAAGCGUGGGGAGCAAACAGG
rnacentral:rRNA from 1 species